AUUUUGGCAGAGAAGUGCCAUGAAUUUAGAAUUCAUAUAUGUAAUUUUAAUUUACAAUUAGUA
rnacentral:tRNA from 1 species